rnacentral:rRNA from 1 species
AAUUGAGAGGGUAUGAUCCCGGCUCAGGGUGAACGCUAGCGGCGCGCCUAACACAUGCACGU